CACGUAGGGGGCAAGCGUUGUCCGGAUUUAUUGGGCGUAAAGAGCUCGUAGGCGGUUUGUCGCGUCUGCUGUGAAAACCCGAGGCUCAACCUCGGGCCUGCAGUGGGUACGGGCAGACUAGAGUGCGGUAGGGGAGAUUGGAAUUCCUGGUGUAGCGGUGGAAUGCGCAGAUAUCAGGAGGAACACCAAUGGCGAAGGCAGAUCUCUGGGCCGUAACUGACGCUGAGGAGCGAAAGCAUGGGGAGCGAACAGG
rnacentral:rRNA from 1 species